rnacentral:rRNA from 1 species
GACGAACGCUGGCGGCGUGCCUAACACAUGCAAGUCGAGCGAAUGAAGUUCCUUCGGGGAUGGAUUUAGCGGCGGACGGGUGAGUAACACGUGGGCAACCUGCCUCAUAGAGGGGAAUAGCCUUCCGAAAGGGAGAUUAAUACCGCAUAAGAUUGUAGUACCGCAUGAUACAGCAAUUAAAGGAGCAAUCCGCUAUGAGAUGGGCCCGCGGCGCAUUAGCUAGUUGGUGAGGUAACGGCUCACCAAGGCGACGAUGCGUAGCCGACCUGAGAGGGUGGUCGGCAACAUUGGGACUGGGACACGGCCCAGACUCCUGCGGGAGGCAGCAGUGGGGAAUAUUGCACAAUGGGGGAAACCCUGAUGCAGCAACGCCGCGUGAGUGAUGACGGCCUUCGGGUUGUAAAGCUCUGUCUUCAGGGACGAUAAUGACGGUACCUGAGGAGGAAGCCACGGCUAACUACGUGCCAGCCGCCGCCGUAACAC